GGGUGACUGCAAAUCCGGAGGAAGCCCGAGGCAAAGCGCUGGCCUGACGAACAGGAAGCGGAUACGAGGCGACGCGUUGGGGUGAGGCAGCAAAAAAAGGCCAAAGCCCGAUACUUGCACAGAACGACGCGGCGUAUAUCCGACGGGCAUAGGCGUGAAGGUG
rnacentral:ncRNA from 1 species